GACGAACGCUGGCGGCGUGCUUAACACAUGCAAGUCGAACGGAAAGGCCCUGCUUUUGUGGGGUGCUCGAGUGGCGAACGGGUGAGUAACACGUGAGUAACCUGCCCUUGACUUUGGGAUAACUUCAGGAAACUGGGGCUAAUACCGGAUAGGAGCUCCUGCUGCAUGGUGGGGGUUGGAAAGUUUCGGCGGUUGGGGAUGGACUCGCGGCUUAUCAGCUUGUUGGUGGGGUAGUGGCUUACCAAGGCUUUGACGGGUAGCCGGCCUGAGAGGGUGACCGGGCACAUUGGGAAUGAGGAACGGGCCAGAACCCUACGGGAGGCAGCAGUGGGGAAUAUUGCACAAUGGGCGGAAGCCUGAUGCAGCAACGCCGCGUGCGGGAUGACGGCCUUCGGGUUGUAAACCGCUUUCGCCUGUGACGAAGCGUGAGUGACGGUAAUGGGUAAAGAAGCACCGGCUAACUACGUG
rnacentral:rRNA from 1 species